GACGAACGCUGGCGGCGUGCCUAACACAUGCAAGUCGUGCGGAAAGGCCUCUUCGGAGGUACUCGAGCGGCGAACGGGUGAGUAACACGUGAGUAACCUGCCUCUGGCUCUGGGAUAACCCUCGGAAACGGGGGCUAAUACUGGAUAUGACACCUGUCCGCAUGGGCUGGGUGUGGAAAGCCUUUGGGCGGCCAGAGAUGGGCUCGCGGCCUAUCAGCUUGUUGGUGGGGUAACGGCCUACCAAGGCGAUGACGGGUAGCCGGCCUGAGAGGGCGACCGGCCACACUGGGACUGAGACACGGCCCAGACUCCUACGGGAGGCAGCAGUGGGGAAUAUUGCGCAAUGGGCGAAAGCCUGACGCAGCGACGCCGCGUGAGGGAUGAAGGCCUUCGGGUUGUAAACCUCUUUCACCAUCGACGAAGCCUUUCGGGGUGACGGUAGGUGGGGAAGAAGCACCGGCUAACUAC
rnacentral:rRNA from 1 species